UGAGGAAUAUUGGUCAAUGGGCGAGAGCCUGAACCAGCCAAGUCGCGUGAAGGAUGACUGUCUUAUGGAUUGUAAACUUCUUUUGUAGGGGAAUAAAGAACGGUACGUGUACCGUAGUGAAUGUACCCUACGAAUAAGCAUCGGCUAACUCCGUGCCAGCAGCCGCGGUAAUACGGAGGAUGCGAGCGUUAUCCGGAUUUAUUGGGUUUAAAGGGUGCGUAGGCGGCCUGUUAAGUCAGCGGUGAAAUCUAGGAGCUUAACUCCUAAAUUGCCAUUGAUACUGGCGGGCUUGAGUGUAGAUGAGGUAGGCGGAAUGCGUGGUGUAGCGGUGGAAUGCAUAGAUAUCACGCAGAACUCCGAUUGCGAAGGCAGCUUACUAAGGUACAACUGACGCUGAAGCACGAAAGCGUGGGUAUCAAACAGGAUUAGAUACCCUGGUAGUCCACGCAGUAAACGAUGAUAACUGGGCGUAUGCGAUAUACAGUAUGCUCCUAAGCGAAAGCGUUAAGUUAUCCACCUGGGGAGUACGCCGGCAACGGUG
rnacentral:rRNA from 1 species